GCACAAGCGGUGGAUGAUGUGGAUUAAUUCGAUGCAACGCGAAAACCUUACCUACCCUUGACAUGUCCGGAAUCCCGAAGAGAUUUGGGAGUGCUCGCAAGAGAACCGGAACACAGGUGCUGCAUGGCUGUCGUCAGCUCGUGCCGUGAGGUGUUAGGUUAAGUCCUGCAACGAGCGCAACCCUCGUCGCUAGUUAAUUUCUCUAGCGAUACUGCCCGUAAAACGUGGAGGAAGGUGGGGAUGACGUCAAGUCAGCAUGGCCUUUAUGUCUUGGGCUACACACACGCUACAAUGGAUGGUACAAAGGGUUGCCAAAGAGCGAUCUGGAGCUAAUCCCAAAAAACCAUCCUCAGUUCAGAUUGCAGGCUGCAAUGCCUGCAUGAAGUUGGAGUUGCUAGUAACCGCAGGUCAGCACACUGCGGUGAAUACGUUCUCGGGCCUU
rnacentral:rRNA from 1 species